UGCCGGCUCCUCCACCCCCCAGGCCUGGGAUGCCGGCAGGCGGGGUGUUUGGCCAGCCGAGACCUGGGAUGCCGCCCCCACCACCGCCCAACCCGCAACAGCCUCCUCAGAACCCGCAGCAGUAGUGAUUAUGCGGGGUAUGCGUGCUUCUUACUUUUCCUCCUUUUUUUUUUGUGUGUUUAACUUGGUUUUCCAUUGUUGUGGUCAGGCAAGAUGAUCCUCUGUGAUUAUGCGACCGGAUAUUGGAUCAAUUUGUCUCCCCUCUUCUUUACUAUAAAUCCAAUUAUUAUCUGAUUCAUGUAGUAUGCUAAUCUGAUCAUCAUAAUGCACUUAUUUCAGUAAUGUGUGUGGAAAUUCCUUAUGAUGAAAUUUAAGGGACUUCGCUGAUUUCUUAUUGAUUGUAGAUCAAAGUUUUGCCGCAUAUCUUCUUGUUACAUGAAAACUAGCACUUAGAAAGUUACGUGGUUAUGUAGAUUGGAACCCUAAUGGAAUCAAUUGGUUCUGCUGGGUUCUAUCAUAGUUUAUUAUCUUAUAUGUAUAUCAAAGCAUGCAUAUUUUGAAGUUAUAUCUCAAAUCUGUGGAUUUUAUACUCAAUCACAAGUGCUCCAAUGAGCAAAAGGCCUUAGUCAAAGUUUCAUAUCAGGAGUAGCUGUGGUGAUACACAUAAAUAAAAUUGAAUGUUCGAGUCUUCUAGGUUGAAUCACUAGUGUGUACUAGGUUGUAUUGGCCAUACCAGAUCAUAUUGGGUAAGGUGCUAAUGUGGAUAUUGCUGCUGGUACUUCAACUUUUACUCUCACUCUUUAAUCAAUUGUGCGCUUGGUAGGUGAUUUUUAUUUUGGACAAAGAAGACAAUUCAUUUGCUCAAAUUGGUAGUUUUGUGCUCUUAUUUCAUUGAACUAUUUGGUUACUUUCGGAUGACGG
rnacentral:lncRNA from 1 species